GAUGAACGCUAGCUACAGGCUUAACACAUGCAAGUCGAGGGGAAACGACAUCGAAAGCUUGCUUUUGAUGGGCGUCGACCGGCGCACGGGUGAGUAACGCGUAUCCAACCUGCCCACCACUUGGGAUAACCUUGCGAAAGUAAGACUAAUACCCAAUGAUAUCUCUAGACGACAUCUGAAAGAGAUUAAAGAUAUAUCGGUGAUGGAUGGGGAUGCGUCUGAUUAGCUUGUUGGCGGGGUAACGGCCCACCAAGGCGAAGAUCAGUAGGGGUUCUGAGAGGAAGGUCCCCCACAUUGGAACUGAGACACGGUCCAAACUCCUACGGGAGGCAGCAGUGAGGAAUAUUGGUCAAUGGGCGAGAGCCUGAACCAGCCAAGUAGCGUGCAGGAUGACGGCCCUAUGGGUUGUAAACUGCUUUUAUAAGGGAAUAAAGUGAGUCUCGUGAGACUUUUUGCAUGUACCUUAUGAAUAAGGACCGGCUAAUUCCGUGCCAGCCGCCGCCGUAA
rnacentral:rRNA from 1 species